rnacentral:lncRNA from 1 species
GUGUUUUGUUUUAUUGUCGCCAUUCUCCGUGAUUUGAAGGGGGUGGAGACUUGAGUCCUGAAGAGCGUGCGCCCACAGUAACGCAGCAGCAGUAAACAUGGCGGCCUCCUUGCUGAAGAUCGGACGGCUCGGCGCACUGAAGUGUGUGCAGGCGGAGAGCUGGGCGGUCCUGAGACGCGCUCCAUCCUCUGCACUCAGUUCCAAGUCUGGAGACAACAAGAAUUCCAAGAAAAAGUCAAAGGUGGCGUCUCGGACCUACUUUGAUCUAGAGAAAAUGGUCCAGCACAGAACGCUGGUGGAUUUCCCCAAGAAGGAGAUCUUGGCGGCCGCGGCCGAAGUAGCUGCUAAAUCACCGGUGGCCGAGCCCGUAGCCGAGGUCGCCGCUGCCACCGCCACUGCCACAGAAGCAGCACCUGAGGCCACUGUCGCCGCCGCUGAAGCAGUCGCAGAAGCCUCACCUGUUGUAGAAGUCGCUGCCCCCGUUGUUGAGGCCGCUGCCCCUGAAGCUGCCGCCCCUGUUGUUGAGGCCGCCGCCCCUGAAGUUGCUCCAGUAGAAGUCGCUGCCCCUGUUGUUGAGGCUGCUGAAGUUGCCCCUGUUGUUGAGGCCGCCGCAGCUGAAGUUGCUCCAGUAGAAGCUGAGGUUGCCCCCGUUGUUGAGGCUGCCGCAGCUGAAGUUGCCCCUGAAGUGGUUGCAGAAGCCCCUGCUGCAGAAGCUGCCCCGGCUGUUGAAGCAGCUGCAGAAACUGCCCCUGCUGUAGAAGCAGCUGUCGAAGCAGAAGCCCCAGCUGUUGAUGCCCCAGUUGUUGAAGCUGCUGCUGUUGCGGAAGUUGUCGUGGAGGCUGUUGAAGCGGAAGCCGAAGCUACCCCAGCUGUUGAAGCUGCUGCUGUUGAAGCAGAAGCUCCAGCUGUGGCAGAAGUUGUCGUGGAGGCUGUAGCACAGGCAGUGGCCGAAGCUGUGGCAGAAGCUGUCGUGGAAACCCCAGUGGAGGCUGUGGCAGAGGCAUUGGCUGACGCUGUGGCGGAAGCUGUGGAAGUUGAAGCCGCCCCUGUUGCAGAGGACCUGGUGGAGGCAGCUGCCGAUGGUACACCUCUCUCUCACACACACACACACACACACACACACACACCUUGCCCCAUUCUGGUGAACACACACACACACACAUACCAACGCUUCAUGGUAUUCACACACUCCUUCCUUCGUCCUUCACCCACCCACCCAC